rnacentral:misc_RNA from 1 species
GCAUCGAUGAAGAACGCAGCGAAAUGCGAUAAGUAAUGCGAAUUGCAGAAUUCAGUGAAUCAUCGAAUCUUUGAACGCACAUUGCGCCCGCUAGUAUUCUGGCGGGCAUGCCUGUCUGAGCGUCAUUUCAACCCUCGCCCCCGGCUUUUGCUGGGAGCGGUGUUGGGGAUCGGCCGCCCGUCACUGGGAGGCCGGCCCCGAAAUAGAGUGGCGACCACGCCGUGUGCUCCUCUGCGUAGUAGUAAAUCACCUCGCAGGCGGACAGCGGUGCGGCCUGCCGUAAAACCCCCAACUCUUUCUGGUUGACCUCAGAUCAGGUAGGAAUACCCGCUGAACUUAAGCAUAUCAAUAAGCGGAGGAU